GUUAACGCUGGCGGUAUGUAUAAUACAUGCAAGUCGAACGCCCUGCACUUUGUUUAUAAUCAAUAUGAUUACCGAUAAAGUGCAGGGAGUGGCGAACUGGUGAGUAACACGUUGGAAUCUUCUCCAGACUCAGGGAUACCACCUAGAAAUAGGUGUUAAUACCGGAUGGUCCCGAAAGGGUAAAGAUUUAUCGGUCUGGAAAGAGCCUGCGGCCUAUCAGCUUGUUGGUGAGGUAACGGCCCACCAAGGCGAUGACGGGUAGCUGGUCUGAGAGGACGACCAGUCACAAUGGGACUGAGACACGGCCCAUACUCCUACGGGAGGCAGCAGUAAAGAAUAUUCCGCAAUGGACGAAAGUCUGACGGAGCAAUACCGCGUGAGCGAUGAAGGUCGUAAGAUUGUAAAGCUCUUUUCUGAGGGAAGAAUUCUGACGGUACCUCAGGAAUAAGCACCGGCUAACUCCGU
rnacentral:rRNA from 1 species